UCGCUGCUCGGAACUGAGCCGUUUCGAGAAGAACAGGGACUACUGGUUAGUGGCCCUUGGGCUGCUUCCUGGUGGAAACUGUUUUAAUCGGUAUGGCUUGAACCGGGCAA
rnacentral:rRNA from 1 species